rnacentral:ribozyme from 1 species
UGCCCAGCAACUCCUAUCCCUACCUCCUCGUGGUACUGGCCGGGGUACGUGUAAUCUUGGGGAAGAACAGGUAACCAACUAGAGAUGG